rnacentral:rRNA from 1 species
UACAGAGGUGGCAAGCGUUGUUCGGAAUUACUGGGCGUAAAGGGCGCGUAGGCGGUCAGGUCAGUCCCGUGUGAAAUCCCUCGGCUCAACUGAGGAACUGCACGGGAAACUGCCUGGCUUGAGUUCGGGAGAGGGAAGCGGAAUUCCGGGUGUAGCGGUGAAAUGCGUAGAUAUCCGGAGGAACGCCGGUGGCGAAAGCGGCGGACUGGGCACCUUCUGACGCUAAGGCGCGAAAGCCAGGGGAGCAAACGGG